CUGGCGUCAGAACGAACGCUGGCGGGCAGGCCUAAGUCAUGCAAGUUGAACGGCUGUAGCAAUACAGCAGUAGCGGACGGGUGAGUAAUGUAUGGGAACGUAUCUUCUAGUGGGGAAUAUCUUUGGAACGAAGAGCAAUACCGCAUGAGUCCUACGGGAGAAAGUCGCAAGACGCUAGAUGAGCGGCCCAUAUUGGAUUAGCUAGUUGGUUAGGUAAUGGCUGACCAAGGCAACGAUCCAUAGCUGGUCUAAGAGGACGAUCAGCCACAUUGGGACUGAGACACGGCCCAGACUCCUACGGGAGGCAGCAGUCAGGAAUAUUGGACAAUGGGGGCAACCCUGAUCCCAGCCAUGCCGCGUGAGUGUUAAGGUCUUCGGAUUGUAAAGCUCUUUUGUGUGGGAAAAUGAUGAUGGUACCACAAGAAUAAGCACCGGCUAACUUCGUGCCAGCCGCCGC
rnacentral:rRNA from 1 species